rnacentral:ncRNA from 1 species
GAGAUAGAGGCGCACCCUCUAAUCAGUAGGUUUUCCUUAAGGAUGUACAUAUCCGGAGGGCAGAAAGGUAGGGGUGCCGAGGCUGGAUUUUCCAUGUACGGGGAAUUUCAGCUGGGCGUACAGAAUAAGAUCUGUGCGACUGUCGCAGAGCGCGGACUUCCGAGAAGACGUGUGAGGAAUGCGGAGCGCUAUCC